GCCUGACUGGCUCUGUCAGUGGAGCAUGUGACUCUUGAUCUCAGGGUUGUGAGUUCAAGCCCCAUGUUGGGUG
rnacentral:tRNA from 1 species